AUGGAAUUGCCCUCCCUAGAGCAAGGAAAGGGCAUGAUUCUGUGCACCAAGGAGAUACUCAGCUCGACACGCCGCUGCACGAAGGGAACCAGAAGAGUCCACACCGCAGCCCACUGCUACAAGCACGAAGAGGAAAAACUGCACAAUGGAGCUGUCACUGAACAAACAAACAGCAAGGAGAAAUGGAGCCUCCAUAACUGGAUCAGAUACAAAGCAUCAUGCUCCAAAUCCCUCGCCGAAGACGCAACCACCCAGCCACCACCGCCCAGCACCACAGCACACUCCCACCUUGCCCAAGCCAGCACCUUCAGGAAGGAGGCGGCGCACGCUGCACCGUUGUCGACCUGUCUCAGCAAGACAUGGGAUUUCUCCCGGGCAUGGAGCGGGAGGGAGAGGGCACGAAACUCGACGGCGCCUCCAAGGAGGGGAGCGGCACCGGCCGGUGUCGCCGCCGUCGUGGCUAGAGCACCCCAGCCAAGGAUUUCUCCCGAUUCGAACCGCAUAUCCGGGCAGCCCAACGCCGGAUCCGGCGGCCAGAGGCUACCGACGACCAGAUCCGGCGGGGCAGAGUGCUGCGUGGGGGAAGGGGCCGCCUUCAGAUCCAGCCGCGGGCGAGGGGAGCGCCGCACCCGCCGCGACCGGCGACAACUCCCGCCGUCCCUCGCCACCCUCGCGGCCAAGGGAACGGAGGGUCACCACCUGCGGCGCCGCUUGCAGGGAGACAGCGCCGCCUCGCCACCCGAGGCCGCCGCCUCGGCGUCCGGAGCCCUCCGGUCGGGAGCAGCAAAUCCUCGCCGCCGCCGUCCUUGA
rnacentral:rRNA from 1 species